rnacentral:lncRNA from 1 species
AGGAAUCGGGACUUCAAUCAAGAACAAGUUCAAAAUUAUUAUGAGGUUUAAAACAAUUGGAUACAUUUUUUCAUGAUAAAUUAUUUAUUACAAGAGUUUUUUAUAAAAAAAUGUAAAAAUAAUUAUUUGAUAAUUUAAUAUAUUUUUGCAUGUUCAAAAGAUUGAAUAUUACAAUUUUUCUUGGAUAAUAGAAGUACAAAAUCAAUUUAGAAAAUAUGAAAAAAAACCAAAUCAAUUUAAUUGAACUGUAGGUAUAGCGUGGGAAGUGAAAAGGGAGAAUACCAUUUAAUCCCGGUUGGUAAUACCACCCGGGACUAAAGGGGUCCAUUUUCAUCUCCCGCGCGUGGGAACCCAUUUAGUCUUGUUGGUAAAACGACCCGGAACUAAAGAUCCCCCAAGUUCCCUUUAGUCCCGGGUGUUAUUACCAACCGGGACUAGGGGGUAUAAAUAUCCACGCCUUCUUCCUCCUCCCGGAUUUAGAAGAUUUCACAGCCGCCUCGUCUCCUCUGUCUCCCAGCCAUCGUCCCGUCGUCACCACCGCAGCCAGCCCACCUCGUCCGUACCGUCCCCAUCAUUGUUGUAGUCGCCCCUUGCCUCCACACGACGCGGCACCACUGGCGACCUCCCUC